rnacentral:rRNA from 1 species
GGGGAAUUUUGGACAAUGGGGGCAACCCUGAUCCAGCCAUGCCGCGUGAGUGAAGAAGGCCUUCGGGUUGUAAAGCUCUUUCAGCCGGGAAGAAAACGCACUCUCUAACAUAGGGUGUGGAUGACGGUACCGGAAGAAGAAGCACCGGCUAACUACGUGCCAGCAGCCGCGGUAAUACGUAGGGUGCAAGCGUUAAUCGGAAUUACUGGGCGUAAAGCGUGCGCAGGCGGUUUUGUAAGACAGAGGUGAAAUCCCCGGGCUCAACCUGGGAACUGCCUUUGUGACUGCAAGGCUGGAGUACGGCAGAGGGGGAUGGAAUUCCGCGUGUAGCAGUGAAAUGCGUAGAUAUGCAGAGGAACACCGAUGGCGAAGGCAAUCCCCUGGGCCUGUACUGACGCUCAUGCACGAAAGCGUGGGGAGCAAAC